rnacentral:misc_RNA from 1 species
GCUCGUUUCAGUAAAGGCACUGCCUGAAAUUUAGAAAACAAAAAUAUUAGUUACUAUCCUUAAAUAACGCUAAUAGCUAUAACCAUUGCCUUUGAAUAAUUCUCCUAAUCACUUAAUGAUAAUAUAACUGUUUAUUUCAAUUAAAUAUCAUAAAUCAUUACGGUUGAUUGUAAAGAAAUAUAAAGUUGAAUUAAAAUUCAACUACACUCUUGACUAUUCAACUUUCUCAAUUACCUAAAUAAGUUACUGAAAAAAGGACAGGACUGCACUCUUUACAAUCAGACUCAAAAUUUGCAAUCAAAUGGGCAGCUGAAUUCGCUGACCUUUUCACAAACACUACAGAGCUUUGGGAUAGCUCAUUUAAGAACUGACAAUAGGACAACCAAUCCAAAAUAAGAAAUAUCAACAACAGAACUUCGCAGCAACUGAACCAAACCCAAGCAAUUCGAUUCAAACACAACAUUCAAUAUGCCCUUGCCUUUAAACCAGCCCACUGCCUCUCUAAACGAGAAGGCCUCCGCCAAAAGAGGAUCCAUUGGACCAGAUAAACAACGCUGACAAGCAUUCACAACAGGUCCUGGUCCCACUGAUAGUGCAUUUUCAAAAACUGGAUCAUCAUGAUCAAUGCUCAUUUCCAGAGUUUGGUCCUUAGCAGAAGACAUCUCAUGAUGACGUCACUUUAGGUCCACAAUAAGCAUCCCAUCAUGCGAAAUCGUAUCACCAAGAGUGCCUAGUAGAAACAAACCCCAUAUGUUUCAGACGUAACUUGCAUGUCUGAUUUUCAAACCCAACACCCUUAUCCUUUAAAGCAACUCCACCCCCACAAUCCCCUCUUUCCAACUAUACAUGUUUCGGGAUACUGUACCGAUCAACUGCAACAUCUUCCACCUCCGACACUUCGUACCUCAACCACAGCUGCCCCAUCAUUUGAUUAUUCCAAUGAGUUAGCGCCCUCGUCUCCGGCCCAUAUCUACGCCCUACCUGCUCACCAUGGGCUUCAAAAAGAAGGGGACAAAAUCUCUCCGUAUGGCCAAGCAAACCACAUAGAAAGCAAAACCUGGGCAGGCUCUCAUAUCUAAAAGAGAACCAAACCCACUCCCUACUCGGCCGUUUGAGUUUCAUCUUCCUCUUCAAGGGAACCUGAUCUUUGAUAUGAACCCUAAUCCUCCUGAACCUGAACCCAAAUAAGAGUACAAAAAAAAUGGGACCUGCUGGGGUUGUUCAUGGGGCGGCAAAUGAUGGAAUAAUAAUAAAUGUUGAUCAAAAAUCCAAGGAGACAUUUCAAUUACCCUUUGCACAUCAACAGCAUGGAAAAAUUGGAACAUAAACAGAGAAUCCCCAAUCUCCCGAAUACUCACCCUUCCCUGGAUGCCACAAAUUUGCCAUUGUUUGCUUCAUGGCAUUGAAAUUAAUGCCCUUCUCCAUCAAAAACCUGCCUACCAGACAAAAACCCUUGUCCUGCACAACUACCUCCACCUCUUCCACAACUAAACCAGCCACCUCUUCAUCGAACGUCAGGAGAUUAAUUCCCUUAGCCAAAUAGCCAUCCAUAGUCGAAGUCGCUGCCAUUAGAACCACUAUAAAGAAAACGAAAGAAACUACACACCAACCAAUGCUUAUCAACAGAUACGACGAACCCUACUUCUUAAAAAAUAGGACACAACGUUAGCCGUAGUUGCUAAAAUCGCGAGUUGAUUUGUAAGAUUACGAGUUAAAAUCACCAAAACGAAUCCAAAUGUAUGUAAAAUCAAAAUAUAGUAAAAUUGAGGUAAAACAGCAGUUUUAAAUAGUAAAAUCAGAUGAAAAAAAAAAACACGAUUUUACAAGUUUAUGAUUGUACGAUUUUAUAUAUUUAAAAUUUUAUAAUUUAAAAUAUUUCAUUUUAGUUUAUCAAAAUCAAUGUCAUUUGUUUAUUUUAACAUCAUUUCUAGAUUUUUUAAGUUUUAAAUAUACUAAUAACCAUUAUUUUUUGCUGCUACAAUUAUCAUGUAUAUAUUGUAAUUUUUUAUAUUACUUUUUCAACAACUUUGAUAUAUUACGAUUAUGAUAAAUGUGAUUUAAUUUCUAUAUAUUAUUCAUCAAAUAUUUCUAUUAUUUGUAUUUACAUCUUUUCAAAGUUGAAAACUUUGAAUUAUACUUUCAAUAUGAUGUUUAUAUUAAUUAUCACCAUAUUGAAUAUUUGGUGAUGAAAAUAUUUAUAGUUAGCCUAAAUUAUAAUAUAGUCCCUAAAGUUUUAUUUGAUU